CAAAUACCCACCGUUUGCUUCAACGUGGAUGGAACUGGAGGGUAUUAUGCUGAGUGAACUAUGCCUCCUUUGGGUCUCCAGAGUCUUCUCCAUGAAGUCGGUGAACAAGGAAAGAUAGGAUUGAAGAGGAGAAGUUUGGGUGCAACAUACCUGGAAGUGACUCACAGCACUGCCACUCAUUCCAUUGGCCAGAACUUAGUCUCAGUGCCACACCAAGUUGCAAAGAAGAUUGGGAACGAGGUCUAGAAGCAGGCAGGAAAAGUCAAGGAAAGCAUGGAUUACAUGAAUACCAGUGAGCACCAGCAGUCUGCUACAAUAGAAAUACAGUGAUAGUUGUAUCUACAAAACUUUGAUUAAUAAAUCUUAUAUUGGAAUUCA